ACUUUCGAGGUGAGUAGUUAACGC
rnacentral:miRNA from 1 species